CUCAAUGGUAGCGUAUCAUGGGAAAGGUUUCGCCCUUUGCUGUGUACCGUUUGACGCAGUUUCUGAGCUCAUGAUACGUUGCCGCCAAU
rnacentral:antisense_RNA from 1 species